rnacentral:rRNA from 1 species
UACGAAGGGGGCUAGCGUUGUUCGGAAUUACUGGGCGUAAAGCGCACGUAGGCGGAUACUUAAGUCAGGGGUGAAAUCCCGGGGCUCAACCCCGGAACUGCCCUUGAUACUGGGUAUCUCGAGUCCGGAAGAGGUGAGUGGAAUUCCGAGUGUAGAGGUGAAAUUCGUAGAUAUUCGGAGGAACACCAGUGGCGAAGGCGGCUCACUGGUCCGGUACUGACGCUGAGGUGCGAAAGCGUGGGGAGCAAACAGG